rnacentral:lncRNA from 1 species
CUUUGUUUUAAAAUCAUGAUCGGAAUCCGAAAAUCUCCCUAUAUCACUGUUACAGGCAUGUGAUCACAUAUCGUGAUCGGAACAUGAACCUACGUCUGAAGUACUAGUUUUUGCUUUUGCUUUUUGCCGUUUUUGUCUUGAUUUUGGCGAAAUUUUCAGUGGCAAAUAUUACUUAAAUAUCGGCACAAAAACAUUUUUCUAUAUGAGUUGAAUACUCUUUCACAAGACGGACCUUAAUGUGAUGGUUACAGUUUAGCAGUACUCUAUGUUACUCUACAUAAAUACAUGACUCUUGUAUUUCUCUUGUUAGAAACUGGUAACGCCAAAUAUAAAUUGUGGAAUUUUUGUUGUUGUUGUAGGCAGUACGGUCAUCAAUAGGACCAAAAUAACUAGG